CCCUUUCGAGUGUCACGAACCCCACGGUUGCAUCCUCUUUCCUUACUCCUGCAGGGCAAUUUUCAUUCCUUCCC
rnacentral:tRNA from 1 species